GUGCUUGCUUUGGCAGCACAUAUACUAAAAUUGGAAUAAUACAGAAAUGAUUAGCAUGACCCCUGCACAAGGAUGACAUCAGAAUUUGUGAAGCAUUCCAUAUUUUU
ensembl:snRNA U6 U6 spliceosomal RNA